CGACAGAGAACAUUUGUUUUAGGGUGUACCCACCUGGCAUGAAUUGCAUGUGUGUGUGUGUGUGUGUGUGCGCGUGUGUUUUCUACACUGCCUGUGUAUUGUGUUCUUUUUUUUUGUUUGUUUUUUGUUUACAGUGCCGUCUGCAUGACUGGCCAUCCAGUGAGGGACGGAAAGAGAGAGAACGAAAGAAAGAGACAAAGGUUUCCCAGAUUGUUUUUUAAAUUUAUUUUUAUUUCUAAGAGCAGAAAAUAUUGUAAAGAUCUCUGAACGCCAACAGAAAGAAAAGGUUUGUACAUAAAAAAGUGUUUUACAAAUGAAAAGAAAAAUAAUUUAAAAAAAAAACUACACCUUGCUCCAUCAUACAAUUUUUUUUUUCCUUUCCUUACUGCAGUGUCCAAGGCUUGGUGAGGCUGAGCGAAGAGGACAACGCCUGGGCUCCAAAGGCACGAGUCGGCACCCCACCAUAGGCAGUG